GUGAAUCAUCGAAUUUUUGAACGCAAAUUGCGCUUCCUGGCAUCCCGGGGAGCAUGCCUGUUUGAGGGUCAGUAUUAACAAAAAAUCGGUGUGGUUGCGAAUUGUGACGUUGCCGGAGUUUGGGGUAUCUGAACUUUUUUGGUUCAGGGGCUUAAAAUUGACCUUUUUUGCGCAUUUUUAGACGUACAUACAU
rnacentral:misc_RNA from 1 species